GAUGAAGAACGUAGCGAAAUGCGAUAAGUAAUGUGAAUUGCAGAAUUCAGUGAAUCAUCGAAUCUUUGAACGCACAUUGUGCCCCCUGGUAUUCCGGGGGGCAUGCCUGUUCGAGCGUCAUUUCACCACUCAAGCCUCGCUUGGUAUUGGGCAUCGCGGUCCGCCGCGCGCCUCAAAUCGACCGGCUGGGUCUUCUGUCCCCUAAGCGUUGUGGAAACUAUUCGCUAAAGGGUGUUCGGGAGGCUACGCCGUAAAACAACCCCAUUUCUAAGGUUGACCUCGGAUCAGGUAGGGAUACCCGCUGAACUUAAGCAUAUCAAUAAGCGGAGAA
rnacentral:misc_RNA from 1 species